rfam:Alligator mississippiensis ScZkoYb_25, whole genome shotgun sequence.
GGGAAAUGGUGGCGAGGCCCAGGGAAGGAGCCGACCCGAGUCUCAGCUCCCUCAGGCUCU